UAGCUGGACCGGUACAAUAUCGAUGGAUGUACCCCAUUGAAAGGUGCGUGCUAAUGUUUAGAAAUUAAAAUUAUUUGUCAUGCUAUGCUAGUCAUGCUAAUCGACCAUAUAUUUUUAAACUUUUUAUUAUUGGUGAUUACAGAUAUCUACUCACAUUAAAGUCGUAUGUGCGUAAUAGAAGUCGGCCCGAGGGAUCAAUUGCGGAAGGGUACUUAGCAGAAGAAUGCUUAACAUUCUGCUCGAGGUACCUGCAUGGUACAGAGACAAGGUUCAAUCGGCCAAUACGGAAUGAUGACUAUAGUAACACUGUUAUAGAAGAACAAUCCUCUAUUUUCCCACUAGUAGGUCGUGCAUUAGGGAAGUCUGAGGAUUGUGUACUGGAUAACGUUACAUCUGCACAGGCACAUCGAUAUGUCCUGUUUAACUGCCAUGAACUCAGCCCGUUUCUUGAAGAACAUAUGAAUGUUGUUAAGCGGAUGAAUCGUCGCGCACGGCCAAGGGACAUAGAACGCAUUCAUAAUGAUACAUUUUAUAAAUAGUUUAGUGAUCGUGUAAGUAGUCGAUUUGAUAAGUUUAAGGACAUGUGCAUGUUUUUUUUUUAAAUUUUUUAUUAUUCAAACAUGUGCUUUUGAAUGAAUAUUUUUGGUAUCUGAAUAGGUUGAACAGUUGCGCCAUAAAAGGAAUGAGCAGGUUUCAGAAGACCUUAGAUGGCUAGCUCGGGGUCCUAGUAUGGCAAGAAGAUAUAAAGGUUUUAUUGUAAAAGGCUUCAGAUUUCACACCAAAGAUCGUGAGAAAAAAAGAAAAACUCAACAUAGUGGAGUUGUUGUGACUGCAAAGACAUCAAGCUUUGCAAGUGCCAAUGACAGAAAUCCCAUUGCAGGAGAUGUAACAUACUAUGGUGUAUUGACGGACAUCAUAGAACUGGAAUAUUGUGGUACUCGGAAGGUUGUAUUAUUUAGGUGUGAUUGGGUUGAUGUUUGAUCUCAAGGCAGGGGUGUUAAGAAGGAUGGGUUGGGGUUCACGCUUGUGAAUUUGAAACGAUUAUGCCAUACAGGUCAACAUUUAUCUGAUGAACCAUUUGUGUUCGCAUCUCAAGCUGAGCAGGUGUUUUACGUACAAGACCUCAUCGAGAAGGAUUGGCAUGUUGUAGUGAGGACAAAACCUAGAGACUUAUUUGAGAUGCAUGGGCAAGAGUCUACAGAUGAUGUUGAUACAUUCUUAGGCAUGUCGCCCUGCGAUGAUCAAUGUUUGGAGGACCCGAGUGAUGACGCUGUUAGCUGGGAAAGGACAGAUGUUGAUGGUACAACAGUUGUCACAUAUUUACCACCCACCCAGCCGAUGGUAGAAGAACAAGUAGAUGAUACUGAGUUAUCUGAUCCCAUUGGAGAUGACAUUUUGUACAAUAAUUGAUUUCUUAAGUGCCAUGUUUUCCUAAUGUAUGAAAUAGAAAUUAAAAUGUCUUUUUUCAUAUGGUUCUGUUAUUUAUUUAUUCAAAAUUGAAUCAUCUUAUCAACAUGCAUCUGUUCACUAAUGUGACUCAGGUUCUUCUUAAGACAUGAAACGUGCUCGUUCUAAACGCAUGACUAGGCUACCGAUAAGCCUUAUGACUGGUGGCAUCAAUCAGCCUCAGCUACCCAAGACUAAUGUGGGUCCCUCUCAACCUCAGUUGCCCCAGCCUAUAGCGGGUCCCUCCCAGCAUCAGCCUUCCCCAGCUACAUCAAGUCCAGUCCAGCCUUUGUUGCUCGAGUCUACAGCAGGUCCUUCUCAUCCCCAGCUUUCUUUGCCUACGGUGGGUCUCUCCCAGAGUUUGCCUUAGGAUCCACACCAGACAAUUGAUUCAUUAGAGGAUACUUCUAAUGAUUUGUUGUUCACGAAGAGAAGGAGUCGAGGCCCCACACGAUGCCAUCAAGUUUGGAACAUGCGUGAAGGGCAACGCAUUUUUAUUACCACCAACAAUCUAGGGCAGCCCGUUAAUGAAAAUGUUAGCAAGCUGACAAACUUUUUGGGGACAAUAGCACGUAAUGGGGAUUACGCACCCCUUACAUAUUCUAAUUGGAGGGUAGUACCAAACGAGAAGAAGGAUGAUAUGUACGAACUUGUCAUGUCCAAGUUUCAGUUUGACAAAGAGAUUAAAUCUUGGGUGUUGAUGUUGAUUGGAAAAAAAUGGAGGGACUGGAAGUGCGAACUGAAGAAAUUCCACUACUCACCUCAUGAUAAUGAUGAGGCACGGCUAGCAGACCUCAAUGAGCGUGUCCAUAUAGAUCAGUGGAAGGCCCUCAUUGAGUUUUGGAACUCUGAAGAGGGAAAGGCCCGUAAUAAGAUAAAUACGGAAAAUCGGAGAAAACAACGCAUUGGCCACGCUGCAGGCACGAAGAGCUUUGCGCGAAUACGUGAAGAAGAGAGAAAUAAGAGGGCUAAUGGGGAGGAUUUGACCUGAGUAGAUAUGUUCUUAUUGACUCAUAGACGUAAGAAUGGGAUGCCUGUGGAUGAGGCCUCAGCAAGAGCAAUGGAACAAUUAAAUGAACGAACUUUGUAGCAGCCAGAGGCUUCACAUAACAGCACUGCGAGGAAAGAUAUAUUCUCGGAAGUCAUGGGUGACGAACGACAUGGCCGUGUCCGCACUUACGGGUUAGGUCCCUCUCCUUCUGAUAUAUGGGGCACAACAUCCCACAGUGUCCAGUCCCAAGGGAUGACCUCCAAUGCUCAGAAGAUAGAUGAACAAUAUGAGGAAUUGCAUGCUGAAAUAUCUUCCCUAAGAGAAACUAUGGCUGAUAGAGAUGCUCAAAUAUCUUCACUAAGAGAAACUAUGGCUGAUAGAGAUGUUCAAAUAUCUUCACUAAGAGAAACUAUGACAACAUUGAUGGCUGCCAUAACGAAUCCAAGCAUUAAUCUAGCUACAUUAUUAGGUGUUUCAGCUAAUCCCAACUUGAACCAACCCUCCUCAUCAUCAAGCCACUUGGUUCCAACCCCUCAGAGAGACUUGGCGAAUAAGGGGAAUUCUACAAGCUGCACUAAUGUGACUCAAGUUCUUCUUAAGAGUAUUGUAAGGCAUGGGGAUACUGUAGCUAAAGGAACCAUUUUGAGCACGGAUCCAUUGACAAAAGUAGGGGGGCAAAAACUUGGAGUUGGUUUCUGGGAAGUAUCUGUUCAAGUGGCAAUGGUACGUGAUGAGGAUUUGAUAAGGCCCCAUGGACGAUAUAAAACAAUUGGGGAUGCAAUUGGAACGAGUAUUGCUUGGCCCACUACUUUAUGUAUGGUAAGUUUUUAUUUUUUAUUUUUUAUUUUAUUAUUAUUAUUUUUUAAGCAAUAGAACUUAUUGUAUGAGAUUGUGAAUAGUAAUUGAUUUAUUUUUGUUAUUUUUUAUAGGUUGCAAACAGAAAUGGAUGAUGACUACAUGAGAGAAGUUUUUAUUAAGUAUUUGGAACUGUAAACAUCUUUUGUAAGUGGGGGUAGUAGGGAUCUGUGGUUUCAAACUUUUGGAUUGAGUUAGACACAUCUAAACAGUUUAUUU